UUCUAAAAGGAUCCCAGCCUUGAUGCUUGAACACUGCUGGGGGAGGGUCAAUUGUCACACCAUUAUGAGAAACAAUUAGGCAUUAUCCAGAAAAGUCUGAGAAGCCCACACCUUAUGACCCGGAGAGCCUUUGGAGUAGUACACAGAAAAUCUCUUGGACCCGUGCUCCAGGAGGCACAGGAGACAAACUGAUAUGGUUUGGCUGUGUC
rnacentral:lncRNA from 1 species